AAAAAAAAAAAAAAAAGAACAACUAAAAUAUUUGCUUCCUUAACUGUUUAAUUCACAAAAUAAAUAGCUAAGCUAUUUGCAAAGCAGUAUGCAACUUAAUGACAUUUGAGUUGGCAUUAAUCUUCCACAAAUAUGAAAUGAUAAACCAACAAUUUAUUUACAAGGGUAUUGAUAAUUUUGCAUUUUACUUGAGAAAUGUCUUUUAAUUUUUAAUAGCACAGAGGUGUGCCCCAUUAGCAAUCAGUGAAGUUAAAUGACCAUAUUGAAAUUCUCUGGAAUAGCAGAAGGAUUUUUCUGCUAAUAUUCUCUGGUUUUAAAAGGAGAAUGUUUCAAGCUAAAACAGAUAUCAUGCAGAUGAAAUUAUUAAAAGAUAGGCUGCGAUGGUACUUACACCACAAAGAGGAACAGAAGCAG
rnacentral:misc_RNA from 1 species